CCAGACUCCUACGGGAGGCAGCAGUAGGGAAUCUUCGGCAAUGGACGAAAGUCUGACCGAGCAACGCCGCGUGAGUGAAGAAGGUUUUCGGAUCGUAAGACUCUGUUGGUAGAGAAGAACGUUGGUGAGAGUGGAAAGCUCAUCAAGUGACGGUAACUACCCAGAAAGGGACGGCUAACUACGUGCCAGCAGCCGCGGUAAUACGUAGGUCCCGAGCGUUGUCCGGAUUUAUUGGGCGUAAAGCGAGCGCAGGUGGUUUAUUAAGUCUGGUGUAAAAGGCAGUGGCUCAACCAUUGUAUGCAUUGGAAACUGGUGACUUGAGUGCAGGAGAGGAGAGUGGAAUUCCAUGUGUAGCGGUGAAGUGCGUAGAUAUAUGGAGGAACACCGGUGGCGAAAGCGGCUCUCUGGCCUGUAACUGACACUGAGGCUCGAAAGCGUGGGGAGCA
rnacentral:rRNA from 1 species